GGGGCGGGGCCUCGAGUGGCCCGAGGUGGCCCGGCUGCUGGUUAGCAAGCGGCGCAGUCCGACUCAUCCUCGCCCGGGGAUGGCGUCCCCACGGGAAUUAACCCAGAACCCCCUGAAAAAGAUCUGGAUGCCGUACAGUAAUGGGCGGCCCGCCCUGCACGCCUGCCCGCGCGGUGUUUGCAUGACCAACUGCCCGACACUCAUUGUCAUGGUGGGCCUGCCUGCCAGGGGCAAGACCUACAUCUCUAAGAAGCUGACGCGCUACCUGAACUGGAUUGGGGUGCCCACACGGGAAUUCAACGUUGGCCAGUAUCGCCGGGACAUGGUCAAGACAUACAAAUCUUUUGAGUUUUUCCUUCCAGACAACGAAGAGGGCCUGAAAAUCAGGAAGCAGUGUGCCCUGGCAGCCCUCCGUGAUGUCCGGCGGUUUCUUAGUGACGAAGGGGGACAUGUGGCGGUUUUUGAUGCAACAAAUACCACCCGAGAACGGAGGGCGACCAUCUUUAAUUUUGGAGAACAGAACGGCUACAAGACCUUUUUUGUUGAGUCCAUAUGUGUGGAUCCUGAGGUCAUAGCUGCCAACAUCGUGCAAGUGAAGCUGGGCAGCCCUGACUAUGUCAACCGCGAUAGUGACGAGGCCACAGAGGAUUUCAUGAGGCGCAUCGAGUGCUAUGAGAAUUCGUACGAGUCGCUGGAUGAGGACCUGGACAGAGAUCUGUCCUACAUCAAGAUCAUGGACGUGGGACAGAGCUACGUAGUGAACCGUGUGGCUGACCACAUCCAGAGCCGCAUCGUAUAUUACCUCAUGAACAUCCAUGUGACCCCCCGCUCCAUCUACCUCUGCCGGCACGGGGAGAGCGAGCUCAACCUCAAGGGCCGGAUUGGUGGGGACCCAGGACUAUCUCCCCGGGGCAGGGAGUUUGCCAAGAGCCUGGCCCAGUUCAUCAGUGAUCAGAACAUCAAGGACCUGAAGGUCUGGACGAGCCAGAUGAAGAGGACAAUCCAGACAGCCGAGGCACUGGGUGUGCCUUACGAGCAGUGGAAGGUCCUCAACGAGAUCGAUGCGGUAGUCACCAUCUCUUCCCUCCCUGCCCAGGGCGUCUGUGAGGAAAUGACUUACGAGGAAAUUCAAGAUCAUUAUCCACUGGAGUUUGCCCUGCGGGACCAGGACAAGUACCGGUACCGGUACCCGAAAGGAGAGUCCUAUGAGGACCUGGUCCAGCGACUCGAGCCUGUCAUCAUGGAGCUGGAGAGGCAAGAGAACGUGCUGGUCAUCUGCCACCAGGCUGUGAUGCGCUGCCUCCUGGCUUACUUCCUUGACAAGGCCGCAGCCCUCCCCGUCUGUGUCCACAGAACAGCUUCCCUACCUCAAGUGUCCGCUGCACACGGUCCUGAAGCUGACCCCUGUGGCUUACGGUUGUAAAGUGGAGUCCAUAUUUCUGAACGUGGUGGCUGUGAACACGCACCGGGACAGGCCUCAGAAUGUAGACAUCUCGAGGCCUCCAGAGGAAGCCCUUGUCACAGUCCCUGCUCACCAGUGACUGCGUCUCGUCCACUGUGACCCCUGGCAGGCAUUGAUCUCUGCAGCUGAGGUCAUUCCAGGACCCCCGUCUGUGUGACAGUCGCCACACAGGAACGCCCUCAAAGCCAUGCAUGGCUGGUGGCACCCAGAACCCCUGCCCCAGCCCAACCCGCUUCCGUGUUGAGUCAGCGACGGGGUCGUACAUGGUGCCUGACCUGCUGCUAAAAAUCCUUCAGCCAGACUGUGUCUGCCCCGGGCUGGUGAGAGGUUUCCUGUGCCUGCUGUCUCUGUUGCAGCUUUUAGGUGUUCUCUCUCACUGGUCGGGUUGGCUUUGUGAAGUGUGAAACCCUAAAAUGUGAAACAGAAAGCACUUGCUGUGAUGGGCCCACCGUGGCCAAGCUGCAGGGUGGACCUGGGGACCCCUGCAGGGGCUCUGCUCUCCUCUCUGUGACCUCUUCUAGGGCCAGAGGCAAGGUCUUCAUGGGAUCCUGAGCUGCUGCUGCCUCAGGUGAGAGGGAGGGCCCUUCCCAUCCUGCCCUGCCAGGAACUGAAGAGCUUCCUCCAAGGCAGACGUGCCCACUGGCCAGGUGCUUGUGUCCCUGCCACCGCAUUUGAGGACACUCAUGAAAGCAGUGUGCUCACUUCAGCACGUUGUGAUGCACAGAAGCAUUCAGGGUGCGGAGCACGCGUGGUCACCCCUUCCCAGUUGUGUGUACACUGGAAUCCUUGCGGGAGCUGGGGCCCAGGCCGGCCCUUCCCCACUGCUCUGGUGGUGAAACCACGUAAAGCCAGGGCGGUGUGUGAGUUACUCUUCCCAGUUCACACUCCCAUGUGCUCAAGGGAGGGGCUGCCGUCCUGUCUGCCCCCUCUGGCUGUGCCGCCAGGCUACCUCCCACUCCUGCUGCCUGUGUCCACAUGGGAGUGGACACCAGUGACAGGGACAUGCAUUUGCUGUGAAUGAUUCAGAAAAGCUUGUUGUGGUCCUGUACAGCCUGUCCUGUCGUUUGUGACUCCACGUGGGGGGCGGAGCAGGGGAAAGGUCAGAACCCAGAGGCUGCCCCUCUCCAAGGGAAGAUUUUCCCAGCGACUUCACGGCUCUUUGUUCACAUGCACAGGAGCCUGGUAAAAAUGACCUUGGGGAGUCUGCCGUCUGUCACGCCCCUGAGUUCUUUUGGGCCCAGAGAGACAGCCUGGGCAGCGGGUUCCAGCUGUAUUUUAUAGCUGGGCAAAUGGACUGGCCAGCAAGUCAUGGGGUUAGGUGAGAAAGUGUCUGAUUUGUAGUCAGAUGCCCUGCUGCCCACAGGUGGUCCUUGGUGAAGUCAGGCCCCAGGAUCCCAAGCCCAUUUUGCACCCAGAAUCUUUCCUGGGCUGUGCUUGGCAGAGCAGCCACGUUUCCCAGCCCCCCAGAGCUUUGCAGUCCACAGGUGCCACCUGUCCUUGAACGAAGUCAUGUUCCUGGCCCCACUGGUAUUCUCAGCUUCGUAUGCUGCAGUACCUGUGGACAAACACAGGUGGAGAGGUGUCCAGGGUGGGGCUGGGGAAGGAUCCUCCUUCUGGACUUGUUUCCUGUCAGACCCCCAAGCCCCUUAGACCCAAAGCCAGAGGAGCUUGCCACUGCCUUUGGGAUAUAGGGACUGCAGCCUUUGUUUCUGUGUUCCCCAGAAUUUGGGUGACUUUUGGUUACCUGGGCACACUCCCUUGUUGGCCAUAAUGGGUCCCUUCAGUCAGUGGCAUGGACAUCUGGAUGUCCGCACCUCUCUAGAACCUCAGGCCAGCGAGAUCAGCAAGGCCUUUUCUCUCUAUGUCCAGAAGUCAGUCAAGAGCUGCUUGACCUGAAUGUGUUACAAGGAUUGGGAUAGGGCAGAGGGAAGUCUGGGGUCACAUCCUGAGCUGGGGCGGCCCCUCCUUCCCUCUGCCCUGGAGUGGUCUCUGCAUGGGCAGCAACCCACCUGGUGGGCUGCCAGGUUUUAGCUGGGAUGGUCAAUGUGCAUGUUUCAGACCUUCUGCUCUCUCUGGAAUGGGUAGUGUUGGAUCUCAGCCACCCAUCAGACUGUGUCCGGCAUUCUUUGCAAUAAAUACUUAAAAAAAUAA